rnacentral:rRNA from 1 species
UGAACUCCACCCUUGAAUAAAUUACCUUUGUUGCUUUGGCGGGCCGCCUCGCGCCAGCGGCUUCGGCUGUUGAGUGCCCGCCAGAGGACCACAACUCUUGUUUUUAGUGAUGUCUGAGUACUAUAUAAUAGUUAAAACUUUCAACAACGGAUCUCUUGGUUCUGGCAUCGAUGAAGAACGCAGCGAAAUGCGAUAAGUAAUGUGAAUUGCAGAAUUCAGUGAAUCAUCGAAUCUUUGAACGCACAUUGCGCCCUCUGGUAUUCCGGGGGGCAUGCCUGUUCGAGCGUCAUUAUAACCACUCAAGCUCUCGCUUGGUAUUGGGGUUCGCGGUUCCGCGGCCCCUAAAAUCAGUGGCGGUGCCUGUCGGCUCUACGCGUAGUAAUACUCCUCGCGUCUGGGUCCGGUAGGUCUACUUGCCAGCAACCCCCAAUUUUUACAGGUUGACCUCGGAUCAGGUAGGGAUACCCGCUGAACUUAAGCAUAUC